GUAACAAGGUUUCCGUAGGUGAACCUGCGGAAGGAUCAUUACAGCGUUGCCGACGUCGGCCCCUCCUCUUCGGGGGGGUCGCCGGCAUAUGCCCAUUCUUGUCUACUGACCCAGUUGCCUCGGCGCGCCGCUCCGCCUAGCGGACGGCCGGAAGUCGUCAGGACGUCUCCCCUCGGGGGGGCAGCCCGGCGGCCCUGGUCCGCGCCCGCCGAAGGACAGUCUAAAACUCUUUACUUAAACGGCCGUCUGAGCGUAUAAGCAAAAUUAAUUAAAACUUUCAACAACGGAUCUCUUGGUUCCGGCAUCGAUGAAGAACGCAGCGAAAUGCGAUAAGUAAUGUGAAUUGCAGAAUUCCGUGAAUCAUCGAAUCUUUGAACGCACAUUGCGCCCCCUGGUAUUCCGGGGGGCAUGCCUGUUCGAGCGUCAUUGCAACCCUCAAGCCCGGCUUGUGUGAUGGACGAUCGUCCCGCCCCCCUGGGGCGUGGGACGCGCCCGAAAAGCAGUGGCCAGGCCGAGCUUCCGGCGCCUGAGCGAAUGGGACUUCCACCGCUUCUAGGACCGGCCGGCAUCUGGCCUCAAACCGAAGGUCUCCUUCACCGGAGCCUUCACCACCAAGGUUGACCUCGGAUCAGGUAGGGAUACCCGCUGAACUUAAGCAUAUCAAUAA
rnacentral:misc_RNA from 1 species